CGCCUCCCUCGACCGCCCCCAUCUCUUCCUCCACCUCCACCGGCCGCCGUCGCCACCAUCUCCUCCACCUCCGCCCACGGCACCCCCAUCUCCUCCACCGCCAACCAACACCGCCCCUAGGUCGAGGCUCCGAGCGGCCGAGCCGGUGAGCGGCAAAGGUCCAAGGAGGUGAGUGUCGAGGAGUCGGCGGCGGAGGAAGCUGAGGAGGGAGGCCAGCGGUCGGUUCACGGCUGCGGUGCGACGGCGAGAAGCCGAGGACUGAGGCGGCGAGGUGCCGGGCGGAGGCGCGGGCGCGGGCGCGCGGCACUAUGGUAGGGCGGUGGGUCAGCGUCAGCAGUGACUACGAGCUUCAGCCAGUGCCCGGCCAGGCGGUGGGCGAGGCGGCUGCGUGUGGCCUAUGGACAGGGCAAGCUGGGAAUGCAUCGGGCAUCGGGACUCGGGCAGGGCCAGCGGCCUGCCACCGACGAGGCAGCGACGGCGAGAAGAGCAGGCGCAGUGCCGCAAUCCCGGUGUCCCCGCUCACCACUUCCCCAGCCGCAGCCAGCCAACGUCAGCGAGCUGCACACAGAGGUUGCGGAGGGUUGGGGUUUGAGGCUGGGAGCACCAGAGCUAGCGAGGCCGGCGAGCUGCGUGUGCAGUUUGUCAAAUGGUUCGGGUAAUAACAAGGAAUGAGGUGGCUGAGCUUGGAAUUUGAUGACUGCUGUUUGUGCAGUUGAAUAUCAAGGUUGUGAUCGCUUUUGGUGCUAUGGAACUUGGUGGUGUAUGUGGCUGCUCGAACUUGGUGCAAGCUACUGGUUACUUGCAGGUUGGCACUUUUGGUGGCUGGAAUUUUUUUGCGUUGGUUGCUUGUCACGCCCAGAAAUUUACACCAAUUUCUGAACAAUAGUAUGUAUUAAAUCUCGGUCC